CCGCAUGCGGGAUGAAGGCCCUCGGGUUGUAAACCGCUUUCACCAGGGACGAAGCGAGAGUGACGGUACCUGGGGAAGAAGCGCCGGCUAACUACGUGC
rnacentral:rRNA from 1 species